UGCUUGGUGGAUCCCACGUUGCUUGCACUGGGCUCUGUUCUUCAGCAGUAUUUCCUGGGAUCUUAGCAGGAUGGGAAAGGACCGCAAAGCUCCAGAGGGUGUUCCCCCAUGGGUGCUCCCAGAUACUGGCUGCAGCUGGAGAUAGAGACAGCUGUGAUGGGCUGAUGCACCAGGACCCAUCUGUUUUUCUCCACCUUAAGACAAAUGACAGAAGUGACAAUCACAUGCCUUUCAGCUCUGGUCAGAAUUGAUUAAAGACAAAAGAUGUUCCAAGGCUUUUGUCUCCUCUUCAAAAGCAAAUGCAGCAGAUAUUAAAUAUUUAAACCA